UACGUAGGGUGCAAGCGUUGUCCGGAAUUAUUGGGCGUAAAGAGCUCGUAGGCGGUCUGUCGCGUCGGCUGUGAAAUCCCGGAGCUCAACUCCGGGUCUGCAGUCGAUACGGGCAGACUGGAGUUCGGCAGGGGAGACUGGAAUUCCUGGUGUAGCGGUGAAAUGCGCAGAUAUCAGGAGGAACACCGGUGGCGAAGGCGGAUCUCUGGGCCGAUACUGACGCUGAGGAGCGAAAGCGUGGGGAGCGAACAGG
rnacentral:rRNA from 1 species